UUUUUUGAGGGAGGGGAUUCAGUAAAACUUGUAAUUUAUACAUUGAAAUCUCUGCUAUUUCUGACUUCAUUGUUUACAUGAGAGGUCUUAUCAGUCACUGAUAGCAUUCUCUGUGUAAGUGUGUAUACAUAGAUAGCUGUCAGUCACUG